rnacentral:misc_RNA from 1 species
UAACAAAUGACAACAAAUACAAUAUAUCUUCUUAGGCAAGCCAGAAACUUUGGAACAAAAAGAAAAGAUACAGAAACUUCUCAUUAACCAAAAAACAAGAAAGGCUAAACCAAACUACACUAAGCAUUUCAUAAAAAAAAAAAUCAUAUCUUUGUACAACUUAAGCUCCUAAUCACUACCAAAACAUAAAAAUAGAGAUAAAAAUUAACAAUAAUAGU